rnacentral:lncRNA from 1 species
CAGCAGUUGGAGAGUGAAAUAGAUGAACUUUACAUCCAAUAUAUCAAGCACAAUGAUAGCAAAAAUAUCUUCCAUGCAGCUCGUACCCCAGCCACACUGUUUGUAGUCAUCUUUAUCACAUAUGUGAUUGCUGGUGUGACUGGAUUCAUUGGUUUGGACAUCAUAGCUAGCCUAUGCAAUAUGAUAAUGGGACUGACCCUUAUCACCCUGUGCACUUGGGCAUAUAUCCGGUACUCUGGAGAAUACCGAGAGCUGGGAGCUGUAAUAGACCAGGUGGCUGCAGCUCUGUGGGACCAGGGAAGUACAAAUGAGAUCUGAAGAUGGUACCAUACAGACGUAAUGCCAUAAGAAAAUCAAGGCCAGGCGCGGUGGCUCACGCCUGUAAUCCCAGCACUUUGGGAGACUGAGGUGGGCGGAUCACGUUAGGUCAGGAGUUCGAGACCAGCCUGGCUAACAUGGCUUUGUACAAGCUUUACAGUGCAGCAGCAACCCACAGACAUCUGUAUCAUCAAGCUUUCCCUACACCAAAGUCGGAAUCUACUGAACAAUC